rnacentral:rRNA from 1 species
AACGAACGCUGGCGGCAGGCUUAACACAUGCAAGUCGAACGGGCGUAGCAAUACGUCAGUGGCAGACGGGUGAGUAACACGUGGGAAUAUCCCUUUCAGUUCGGAAUAACUCAGGGAAACUUGAGCUAAUACCGGAUACGUCCUUCGGGAGAAAGAUUUAUCGCUGAGAGAUUAGCCCGCGUCUGAUUAGCUAGUUGGUGAGGUAAUGGCUCACCAAGGCGACGAUCAGUAGCUGGGCUGAGAGGAUGAUCAGCCACACUGGGACUGAGACACGGCCAAGACUCCUACGGGAGGCAGCAGUGGGGAAUAUUGGACAAUGGGGGAAACCCUGAUCCAGCCAUGCCGCGUGAGUGAUGAAGGCCUUAGGGUUGUAAAGCUCUUUUGCCAGGGAAGAUAAUGACUGUACCUGGAGAAUAAGCCCCGGCUAACUUCGUGCCAGCCGCCGCGGUAAGAC